rnacentral:piRNA from 3 species
AACUCCCGUGCUGAUCAGUAGUGGG